CCGAGCGGUGUACGCGGGAGACAGCUUUCUCGACCUUCAGGCACCCGGAGACAAGCUGGAGGUAGCUGGCAGCAGGUAGCUGGAGGACCGGGCUUCCGGUACCCGCGGAGCUGGUGUUCUCCCUGCCAGGCCCGGGAGUGCGCACGUUCCUGACCCAGUCUGGCCCGGCUCGGGCUGGCAGCCAAAUCCGGCUCUGCGCACGGGUCGUGAGUCCUCGGCCAGGACGUGCAGCUCCGGAGCCCGCGCGGACGACCUUGACCAUCUCGGCCGGCUGUUUCCCCCUGAGAGAAAUGACAGGAAUCUCUAAGGAGUGAGAGGAAAACUGAUGACAGGCACUGCCCAAAGAAGAUGGAACUGUCAUAGGUGGUGAGUGGAUAUCGCCAAGAGACUUAUGGUAUCUCCUCCAUGUCUGACGGAGAUAACAGCCAGCGCUGGGCUGCAAAGUCUCCUCUGGAAGACCACUGAACCAAGAGGGUAAAUGGUGUGCAGAGACAAGUCAAGUUCAGAAUUGGAGCCUCUGGUUCCCCCAGGAAGGAAUGGGUUGUAAACAAGGUGAAAGGCAGUGGGAUGAGCACUACAGGACCCAUGGGCUACCAUCAGGAUCCACCAGAAGGGAAAGUUACAGAGACAAGAAAUCGUAUUGGGCAAGCUCCAGGAUUACAGACGAUAAGGAGAAUAGACGUCACCUUCAAAACACCUCACUCACUGGAGCCAAGUGUACCAGGACAGCCCUGUCUCCCUCGCAGGACCCUACAGGAGGAAUCCAGACAAGGCCCACCUACCACAAUUGAGAUUUCUCUCUAAAGAAAAUCAUUUUAACCAGACAGUUCCUGAAAACCAAAUGCCCACUCUAGUUGUCCUCAGAAAAGGGCAUAACAUCUAAUAACUCAAAGACAGUUAUGCUUUGAUUUAAUUUGUAAUGAGGUGGAUGGACCUAGAGUCUGUCAUACAGAGUGAAGUAGGUCAGAAAGAGAAAGACAAAUACUGUAUGCUGACACAUAUAUAUGGAAUUUAAGAAAAAAAUGUCAUCAAGAACAUAGGGGUAAGACAGGAAUAAAGACACAGACCUACUAGAGCAUGGACUUGAGGAUAUGGGGAGGGGGAAGGGUAAGCUGUGACAAAGUGAAAGAGCGGCAUGGACAUAUAUACACUACCAAACGUAAGGUAGAUAGCUAGUGGGAAGCAGCCGCAUAGCACAG